GACGAACGCUGGCGGCGUGCUUAACACAUGCAAGUCGAACGGAAAGGCCCUGCUUUUGUGGGGUGCUCGAGUGGCGAACGGGUGAGUAACACGUGAGUAACCUGCCCUUGACUUUGGGAUAACUUCAGGAAACUGGGGCUAAUACCGGAUAGGAGCUCCUGCUGCAUGGUGGGGGUUGGAAAGUUUCGGCGGUUGGGGAUGGACUCGCGGCUUAUCAGCUUGUUGGUGGGGUAGUGGCUUACCAAGGCUUUGACGGGUAGCCGGCCUGAGAGGGUGACCGGCCACAUUGGGACUGAGAUACGGCCCAGACUCCUACGGGAGGCAGCAGUGGGGAAUAGUGCACAAUGGGCGGAAGCCUGAUGCAGCAACGCCGCGUGCGGGAUAACGGCCUUCGGGUUGUAAACCGCUUUCGCCUGUGACGAAGCGUGAGUGACGGUAAUGGGUAAAGAAGCACCGGCUAACUACGUG
rnacentral:rRNA from 1 species